GACAGAGGAGCCAAGCGUUGUCCGGAUUGACUGGGCGUAAAGCGCACGCAGGUGGUCGUGCAAGUGUCGUGUGAAAGCAGCCUCGCUCAAUGAGCUGAGGCAUGGCAGACUGCACAACUCGAGCCCGUGAGAGGUCGGUGGAAUUGCCGGUGUAGUGGUGAAUGCGUAGAGAUCGGCAGGAACACCCAAGGGGAAGCCAGCCGACUGGCAGCGGUGCUGACACUGAGGUGCGAGAGUGUGGGGAGCAAACGGG
rnacentral:rRNA from 1 species